CCCAGCCUAUAAAAGCAAAAGUUGUGGCCCGUCCAGCAGGAGUUAGCGAAAGGGAGGGCCGGGGGCCUGGGCUUAGUUUUGGGGGAGGAGUUGGCUAGUUUAGGGUCUCAGGGGACAGGUGGGGGAGAUGGCAGAGUUAGAUGGGACUGGGGGGGUGGGGGGUGCCAGGAGAAGGAAGGUUAAAGGGGAGACUAGGUGUUGGGGGAACUGUGCUGGGAAGAGCUGCGUCGGAAGUGCCCACAGUAACCCGGGGGAAGGACAACACCCCAGGCCUGGCUGUCGCAGCUGCCUGCUGGAGAAGGGGAGCCUGACCUCUAGAAGGGCGCCGCUCCUUUGUAGGCUGAGCGGCCCCCAGUGCCCUGGUUUGUAUGGAAGGAGGAAGGCAGAGAGACAGGAGGAGGAGGCUGAUGGUCUCGCGGCCUUUGCUGGAGGCACACUUGGGCAGUCGACGCCCUGAAAAUGAGCAGGAAGGAAGGCAGUGGGGUACAGGGACGCAGAUGGGCAGGGAGGGCAGAACUUGAACUUGUCAAUACCAGCAGCCCCCUUUUUUUCCAGACAGAGGGUUGUGAACCCGCCUGGGGAUGAGGCCUGGUGUUGUGGAAACUGAACUUAGCUUCGCGGGGCUGACAGUUCUGGCCCAGGGCGGUGGCAGUGCACCCCUUUGGACUUUUUCUCUGGGUUCCAUGCUUACCUCUUCUGUGACCUCACUCUGCCCCUCCUCCUCCCUCUAACUCUCUCGAGGUUACCCCUUCACUUAAAACGUUGCUUCUGGUAAUCUGGUAAGCCGGGAAAGUUGCUGGAGUCCCUGCCGGAGUCGGUGUUGUCGGUAAUCGUGAAGGAGGAGAGGCGCCCCCAGCGGAGACUCUGGGUGGGCGGGUUGGUCUUGCUUGCCGGUGGAGAGGGUGGGGAUUGAAGGUGCACCCUUGGGUGGACCCACAGCGAUGGUACCAGCUGAACGCUACAAAAAUGCUUCAUAGACCGUGGUUUGUUACUAUAGUGUUCAUCAUGGCGAGCUGAUGGCACCAGGAGAAUGGAGCCCCUGGCCAGUGUGCGUCGUAGCAGUGCAGGAGGGGAGACCCUGGAGGAGGAGAGAGCCCGCCUAAAUUGAUGUCUACAGAUUGAAUUUCCAGAGGCUUAGGAGGAGGAGGAGUUCUCCAAUGUCCUGUUUCCAGGCCUUGCUCAGGAAUCCCUGUAUUCAUUCAGGAGACCAUCCUUUAAGGUUUUCAGAUGAGCUUAUGAGGGGGCAAUCUUUAAAAGUCCAAAGCAGAUGCAUCCGGGGCCUUCAGCAGAUGUGUUGCUUUGAGUGUGUAAUCCAGGAGCAGCGAUCUCUGGGCACAUGAAUGCCAGCAGGCACCUCUCCUGUUCUGGGGUGGAGGUUUUCAAAUGCUGCAUCUUCUAAAUUCAGCUUCCUGUUGUACUAGUUCUGUGCUACGAACCUUGCUUCCAGAGGACUCUUAAGCUGUAGAACAUUUUAACGCGAUGCCACAACACAGAGUGCUGCCUUGUAGAUGGAGCUUGCAGAUGGAUCCCAGUGACCCUCUCAUCUACCCUCCUGCCUUCCUGUGCAUUGGUUGGAGGAAUUCUUAGUGUGAUGAUAAUCUGUGUGUUGGGAAAGUGUUCAAGAUUGAAAUGAAUGCCUUAGGCAAAUACUUAAGUGAGCCAACUGGCAAAUUGAGGGGGUCAUUGUACUGUGCUGGAGGUACGAGUUGGUCAUGCCCAAAUUGUGAUAGAAAUGGCAGGUCUAGUUUGGGCAUUCCUACUAAGAAGGGAGUGGUCAGGGUACCCAUAGUGAUCUUUGAUUCAUCUUGCUCUAUGUACUUUUUAACUUCAAUUUUACUUGAUUAGAUUUCAGAGUAAUCUUAGUGUUUAAAUGGGAGGACCCUGAGGUGAGGGGUGGUGGGGAGGGAAAAGCCUGCCACAGGUGCUGGGAGGGGUGGGCGUGAAGAAAGGGAGAAGGGGGGGAGGGUUGUGGUUAGGUGUGGGUUGUAGUAGAGGGUGGGAGUGGUAGGGGGGAAUGUGGGUUGAAGGGAAUUCUCCGGAGAAAAGAUCAGUAGGCAGAGCUUUGGGGAAUUAUAUAGAGCUCAUGGGCGAAGAAAAUACUAGUUAAUAGUAAAUUGUUAAUGCUAGUUAAAUUGUUGCUUGGAAGCACAAAAAAAAGUUGCUUGGAAACUUUCUAAAAUGCUUAGAACUCUGCUAAGUGCAGGAGAAAAAGCAAAAUUGUUUUGCUUUGCUGCAAGAUGGGGAAGACUGAAAAGGUAACUGAAGACCUGGUCAUUGGUGAUUUGAAAGAUUGGUGUCAGGAACUUGCAUCAGCAGGUUAACAUCCUUCACUGCUUUCAAGCUUAAGUGGUUUAUCUGGAGGUGUGUGGUAUUUGGGAGAGGUCUUCGAAAAGACUUUAAAUACCCAUAUUGUGGGCUUUUAAAGUAAGCUUGAGAUUUUGGAGUGCACUUAAGAUGGUGAGAUGUACUCUUCUGGGUUUGCAACAUUUUUAUUCACAGAGGUUUUGCAGUUGAAAACUUGAGCAAAGUGAAAAUGCAAUGAUUUCUAAAGGAAUUUUGUGUUACUUCCUGCCUUAUAAGCACAUCUCUUUUUUUCUUUGUGAUGAAACAGCAAGAGUUUUUAGUUUUCGUCGUCAUUGUAACAAGGAGAACUUAAUGACUUUUUGUGAUCACUGUAAAAUUACUGUAAUAUUUGGUAGCAAACAAUCCAUGUAGCCUUGCUAAGGUUACAGUUAGUAAUCCACUGUAUCUUUAGUUUGAAUGUUUGUGUUUUUUAAGUGAUAACCGUACUAGAGGGGAAACUAUCAACCAAAAUCAGUUUGGGAAAUAAGCAAAACUGGGGAUGGGGAGGCGCUUUAUUACUAGAUUAUGGUCUGUGAAAAUUCAGGGAAAGAUCUGAAUCCUUUGUGAUAAAGUAAUACCAGUGGCUUUUUUAUCAUGUUCCUCUUCCCAUUGAAUUUCACGUUGAAAAUUUUAAAUCCCCAAUAUUUAUGACACUUGGGAUCUUUCUGGGUUCUCUUUUUAAUGUUUAAAAAUAUGUUGACAUGAUAGUUCAGUUCUUAACCCGUGAUUUGGGCAUGAUACAGUAACUGUCAUUGGAAUUUACAGAAUACUAGUCAUGCAUGUAUGGGGAAAUGUGUUCCAGUAAGCUGUUGUGAAAUUGAAACUGUAAAAGUAGGAGGAAAAAGUACUUUUAUGUUGCUCUGUAUGGGAAGAACCAGUCUUGUUACACCAUGUAUGUGACUACUAAUCGUUUUUCUUCCCCUUUACAGCAUGAAUAAAGGUUUGAGUUCUAAACUCAUUAGAA